rnacentral:rRNA from 1 species
UCCUACGGGACGCAGCAGUCGGGAAUAUUGCGCAAUGGAGGAAACUCUGACGCAGUGACGCCGCGUAUAGGAAGAAGGUCUUCGGAUUGUAAACUAUUGUCAUUAGGGAAGAGAAAGGACAGUACCUAAAGAGGAAGCUCCGGCUAACUACGUGCCAGCAGCCGCGGUAAUACGUAGGGAGCAAGCGUUAUCCGGAAUGAUUGGGCGUAAAGGGUGCGUAGGCGGCCUGCUAAGUCUGGAGUGAAAGGUACCGGCUCAACCGGUACAGGCUCUGGAAACUGGCGGGCUAGAGAGCAGGAGAGGGG